CCUACGGGAGGCAGCAGUGGGGAAUAUUGCGCAAUGGGCGAAAGCCUGACGCAGCGACGCCGCGUGAGGGAUGAAGGUCUUCGGAUCGUAAACCUCUGUCAGCAGGGAAGAACGGUCACUGUGCUAAUCAGCAGUGAAUUGACGGUACCUGCAAAGGAAGCACCGGCUAACUCCGUGCCAGCAGCCGCGGUAAUACGGAGGGUGCGAGCGUUAAUCGGAAUUACUGGGCGGAAAGCGCUCGUAGGCGGUAUGUCAAGUCAAGGGUGAAAUCCCCGCGCUCAACGUGGGAACUGCCUUUGAAACUGGCAAACUGGAGUGUGUGAGAGGAUAGUGGAAUGCCAGGUGUAGGAGUGAAAUGCGUAGAUAUCUGGAGGAACAUCAGUGGCGAAGGCGACUAUCUGGCACAUAACUGACGCUGAGGAGCGAAAGCGUGGGUAGCAAACAGGAUUAGAUACCCUAGUAGUC
rnacentral:rRNA from 1 species